AUGCCCCUGCAGGACACUGGAGGCUACUGGCCCAGGUACUGGCAGACAAACAACAAUGAUAACAAAAGCAGGCAUGGGAAUGCCCCAGUCUCCCAGGUCUCCCGGCUACCCCCCAGAGGUGACCAUAACGCCAUCAGCUCUCUGCCCUACCUGGGCCUUCUCCAGGGCCUUUGCCCUGUGCUAUUCCUGCGGCCUGGAAGCUCUUCCUCAAGAAAGCCACCAUGCUGUCACAUUCAAGUCUUUCCUCAGAUGUCACUUUCUCAGAACGUGACUUCCAGCGCAUGGGUGGCUCCGGUGGUUAAGGUCUGCCUUCCACACAGGUCACGGUCUCGGAGUCUUGCGGUUCAGCCCCAGUAGGGCUCCCUGCUCGGCGGGGAGUCUGCUUCCCCCUGCCCCUUUGCCCCUGCUCUUGCUCUCUCUCUCCCUAAAAUAAAUAAAAUCUUAA